CGCAGGCGGUCUGUCAAGUCGGAUGUGAAAUCCCCGGGCUCAACCUGGGAACUGCAUUCGAAACUGGCAGGCUUGAGUCUUGUAGAGGGGGGUAGAAUUCCAGGUGUAGCGGUGAAAUGCGUAGAGAUCUGGAGGAAUACCGGUGGCGAAGGCGGCCCCCUGGACAAAGACUGACGCUCAGGUGCGAAAGCGUGGGGAGCAAACAGGAUUAGAUACCCUGGUAGUCCACGCCGUAAACGAUGUCUACUUGGAGGUUGUGCCCUUGAGGCGUGGCUUCCGGAGCUAACGCGUUAAGUAGACCGCCUGGGGAGUACGGCCGCAAGGUUAAAACUCAAAUGAAUUGACGGGGGCCCGCACAAGCGGUGGAGCAUGUGGUUUAAUUCGAUGCAACGCGAAGAACCUUAC
rnacentral:rRNA from 1 species